rnacentral:rRNA from 1 species
GACGAACGCUGGCGGCGUGCUUAACACAUGCAAGUCGAACGGAAAGGCCCUGCUUUUGUGGGGUGCUCGAGUGGCGAACGGGUGAGUAACACGUGAGUAACCUGCCCUUGACUUUGGGAUAACUUCAGGAAACUGGGGCUAAUACCGGAUAGGAGCUCCUGCUGCAUGGUGGGGGUUGGAAAGUUUCGGCGGUUGGGGAUGGACUCGCGGCUUAUCAGCUUGUUGGUGGGGUAGUGGCUUACCAAGGCUUUGACGGGUAGCCGGCCUGAGAGGGUGGCCGGCCACAUUGGGACUGAGACACGGCCCAGACUCCUACGGGAGGCAGCAGUGGGGAAUAUUGCACAAUGGGCGGAAGCCUGAUGCAGCAACGCCGCGUGCGGGAUGACGGCCUUCGGGUUGUAAACCGCUUUCGCCUGUGACGAAGCGUGAGUGACGGUAAUGGGUAAAGAAGCACCGGCUAACUACGUGCCUGCAGCCGCGGUGAUACGUAGGGUGCGAGCGUUGUCCGGAUUUAUUGGGCGUAAAGGGCUCGUAGGUGGUUGAUCGCGUCGGAAGUGUAAUCUUGGGGCUUAACCCUGAGCGUGCUUUCGAUACGGGUUGACUUGAGGAAGGUAGGGGAGAAUGGAAUUCCUGGUGGAGCGGUGGAAUGCGCAGAUAUCAGGAGGAACACCAGUGGCGAAGGCGGUUCUCUGGGCCUUUCCUGACGCUGAGGAGCGAAAGCGUGGGGAGCGAACAGGCUUAGAUACCCUGGUAGUCCACGCUGUAAACGGUGGGUACUAGGUGUGGGGUCCAUUCCACGGGUUCCGUGCCGUAGCUAACGCUUUAAGUACCCCGCCUGGGGAGUACGGCCGCAAGGCUAAAACUCAAAGGAAUUGACGGGGCCCCGCACAAGCGGCGGAGCAUGCGGAUUAAUUCGAUGCAACGCGUAGAACCUUACCUGGGUUUGACAUGGAUCGGGAGUGCUCAGAGAUGGGUGUGCCUCUUUUGGGGUCGGUUCACAGGUGGUGCAUGGCUGUCGUCAGCUCGUGUCGUGAGAUGUUGGGUUAAGUCCCGCAACGAGCGCAACCCUUGUUCACUGUUGCCAGCACGUUAUGGUGGGGACUCAGUGGAGACCGCCGGGGUCAACUCGGAGGAAGGUGGGGAUGACGUCAAGUCAUCAUGCCCCUUAUGUCCAGGGCUUCACGCAUGCUACAAUGGCUGGUACAGAGAGUGGCGAGCCUGUGAGGGUGAGCGAAUCUCGGAAAGCCGGUCUCAGUUCGGAUUGGGGUCUGCAACUCGACCUCAUGAAGUCGGAGUCGCUAGUAAUCGCAGAUCAGCAACGCUGCGGUGAAUACGUUCCCGGG